CAACGCGUUGGGGAGCUCCUCCAUAUGUCGACUGCAGGCGCCGCGAUUCACUAGUGAUUAGAGUUGAUCUUGGCUCAGAUUGACGCAGCGGAGUCUACACAUGCAAGUCGAGCGGUAGAGAGAAGCUUGCUUCUCUUGAGAGCGGCGGAUGGGUGAGUAAUGCCUAGGAAUCUGCCUGGUAGUGGGGGAUAACGUUCGGAAACGGACGCUAAUACCGCAUACGUCCUACGGGAGAAAGCAGGGGACCUUCGGGCCUUGCGCUAUCAGAUGAGCCUAGGUCGGAUUAGCUAGUUGGUGAGGUAAUGGCUCACCAAGGCGACGAUCCGUAACUGGUCUGAGAGGAUGAUCAGUCACACUGGAACUGAGACACGGUCCAGACUCCUACGGGAGGCAGCAGUGGGGAAUAUUGGACAAUGGGCGAAAGCCUGAUCCAGCCAUGCCGCGUGUGUGAAGAAGGUCUUCGGAUUGUAAAGCACUUUAAGUUGGGAGGAAGGGCAGUUACUUAAUACGUAUCUGUUUUGACGUUACCGACAGAAUAAGCACCGGCUAACUCUGUGCCAGCAGCCGCGGUAAUACAGAGGGUGCAAGCGUUAAUCGGAAUUACUGGGCGUAAAGCGCGCGUAGGUGGUUCGUUAAGUUGGAUGUGAAAUCCCCGGGCUCAACCUGGGAACUGCAUUCAAAACUGUCGAGCUAGAGUAUGGUAGAGGGUGGUGGAAUUUCCUGUGUAGCGGUGAAAUGCGUAGAUAUAGGAAGGAACACCAGUGGCGAAAGGCGACCACCUGGACUGAUACUGACACUGAGGUGCGAAAGCGUGGGGAGCAAACAAAAUUAGAUACCCUGGUAGUCCACGCCGUAAACGAUCUCUUCCAUCCGUUGGGAGCCUUGAGCUCUUAGUAGCACAGCUAACGCAUUAAGUUGACCGCCUGGGGAGUACGCACGCAAGGUUAAAACUCAAAUGAAUUGACGGGGGCCCGCACAAGCGGUGGAGCAUGUGGUUUAAUUCGAAGCAACGCGAAGAACCUUACCAGGCCUUGACAUCCAAUGAAUCUGCUAGAGAUAGCGGAGUGCCUUCGGGAACAUUGAGACAGGUGCUGCAUGGC
rnacentral:rRNA from 1 species